rnacentral:tRNA from 1 species
GUGUCUGUAGCCUAGUUGGUAAAGGCAGAACUCUAGUAUAGCUGAGGUCGUGAGUUUGACUCUCACCAGACACA